rnacentral:rRNA from 1 species
GUGCCAGCCGCCGCGUAAUUCCAGCUCCAAUAGCGUAUAUUAAAGUUGUUGUGGUUAAAAAGCUCGUAGUUGAACCUUGGGCCUGGCUGGCCGGUCCGCCUCACCGCGUGCACUGGUCCGGCCGGGCCUUUCCCUCUGUGGAACCCCAUACCCUUCACUGGGCGUGGCGGGGAAACAGGACAUUUACUUUGAAAAAAUUAGAGUGCUCCAGGCAGGCCUAUGCUCGAAUACAUUAGCAUGGAAUAAUAAAAUAGGACGCGCGGUUCUUGUUUUGUUGGUUUAUAGGACCGCCGUAAUGAUUAAUAGGGACAGUCGGGGGCAUCAGUAUUCAACUGUCAGAGGUGAAAUUCUUGGAUCAGUUGAAGACUAGCUACUGCGAAAGCAUUUGCCAAGGAUGUUUUCAUUAAUCAGGAACGAAAGUUAGGGGAUCGAAGACGAUCAGAUACCGUCGUAGUCUUAACCAUAAACUAUGCCGACUAGGGAUCGGACGGUGUUAUUCAUGACCCGUUCGGCACCUUACGAGAAAUCAAAGUGCUUGGGCUCCAGGGGGAGUAUGGGUCGCAAGGCUGAAACUUAAAGAAAUUGACGGAAGGGGCACCACCAGGGGUGGAAGCCUGC